CCUACGGGAGGCAGCAGUGGGGAAUAUUGCACAAUGGGGGAAACCCUGAUGCAGCGACGCCGCGUGAGUGAAGAAGUACUUCGUUAUGUAAAGCUCUAUCAGCAGGGAAGAAAAUGACGGUACGUGAGUAAGAAGCCCCGGCUAACUACGUGCCAGCAGCCGCGGUAAUACGUAGGGGGCAAGCGUUAUCCGGAUUUACUGGGUGUAAAGGGAGCGUAGACGGCAUUGCAAGUCUGGAGUGAAAGGCGGGGGCUCAACCCCCGGACUGCUCUGGAAACUGUACGGCUGGAGUGCAGGAGAGGUAAGUGGAAUUCCUAGUGUAGCGGUGAAAUGCGUAGAUAUUAGGAGGAACACCAGUGGCGAAGGCGGCUUACUGGACUGUAACUGACGUUGAGGCUCGAAAGCGUGGGGAGCAAACAGGAUUAGAUACCCGAGUAGUC
rnacentral:rRNA from 1 species